UCAAUCUCAAAUAUUUAUAUUUACAUUAUUUUAUAUAUGGUAAAGUCAUUCUCAAGCAGCUUAACAUUGUCAUUCACACUGAAAAGAGAAGAGGAAAGAGAUGGAUGUUCUAUCUAUUCCUACUAGUCUCACAAUUACAACAUUUUGUGUCAUUUUAGCAGUAGCAGCAUUUGUGUUCAAAGUACUUGUCUUCAACAAGGGAAAGUACCAUCCUGUUGCUGGAACAAUCAUCGAUCAUUUGCUGAAUUUCAACAGGCUGCAUGAUUACAUGAAAGAAAUGGCAAGCAAAUACAAUACCUAUAGGAUACUUAAUCUUUUCCAAAGUGAGGUCUACACCUCCGACCCUGUUAAUAUCGAGUAUAUUCUAAAGACAAAUUUCCCCAACUAUGGCAAGGGUUGGCACCAUUACAGCAUAUUGAAUGAUCUUCUCGGUGAUGGGAUCUUCACAGUCGAUGGAGACAAGUGGAAAAACCAACGGAAGAUAUCAAGUUAUGAAUUCUCCACCAAAAAUUUAAGGGACUUUAGUAGUGCAGUUUUCAGAAUUAGUGCAGUAAAACUUGCUCACAAAGUAUCUGAAGCUGUGACCUCAAAUCAAGCAACAGAUAUUCAAGUCUUGUUUACGAAAUCAACACUGGAGACGGUAUUCAAGAUUUUACUAGGUGUGGAUCUAGACACUACAACUGAAGAAGGCACUCUCUUUUCCAAUGCUUUUGAUGAAGCAAGUGCAGUAACUCUCUAUCGCUACGUUGAUGUGUUUUGGAAAGUGAAAAGAUUUCUAAACAUUGGGUCAGAAGCAAAUAUGAAGAAGUGUAUUAAAGUUGUUGAUGAAUUUGUAUAUAAAAUUAUCAGAAACAAGAUAGAACAGAUGAGUAAGUCGCGAGAUGAUAGCAGGGUGAUGAAGAAAUCAGAUAUUCUGUCUAGGUUUAUGGAAAUGAACAAAACGGAUCCAAAGUACCUUAAGGACAUAAUCCUUAGCUUUAUAAUUGCUGGCAAAGACACUACAGCUAGCACACUUUCCUGGUUCUUCUACAUGAUGUGCAAGCACCCUCUCCUACAAGAAAAAAUUGCAAAUGAAGUCAGGAAAGCAACUGGAAUAAACCAGAAUUCGAGUAUUGAUGAGCUAGCUAACAGCAUUACUGAUGACGCACUGGAUAAAAUGCAGUAUCUCCAUGCAUCAUUAACUGAGACGCUUAGAUUAUAUCCUGCAAUUCCUGUGGAUAGCAAAGUUUGUUUAUCAGAUGACACUUUCCCUGAUGGGUUCAAAGUGAGGAAAGGGGACGCUGUCGCAUAUCAACCAUGGGCUAUGGGCAGGAUGACAUCUUUAUGGGGUGAUGAUGCAGAGGAUUUUCGGCCAGAGAGAUGGAUUGAUGAAAAUUGUUGCUUUCGGCAAGAAAGUCCCUUUAAGUUCACAGCCUUCCAGGUACCACAGAACCUUACAAUCUUAUAACUACUACAGUUAUAAAACUUCUAAGAGCUUAGCUUCACCAGACAGAACUAGUUUUUCCCAUCCAACCUUGACAAAGAAACAAAUUACAAUUGUUAAAUUUUACAGGCUUCAAAUAUUAUGAUUGAUGAAUGGUAUGAUUAUGGGAGAAACUGGUAUAAAGCUUUUAAUCCCCUUCCUAACAUCUGUUAACGUCACAGCUCAUGUGCACGAGACAUUCACAUGAGAACCUUCUUCAUUCAACACCUCUUCAACCUCGAUCAUCCUAACCUCUCAUUCUCUGCCCAAAAAAAAAUUCAUUCCUAGCUACAAAUUAUAGAACCCAAAACAAACUAAAGGGCGAAUGUCUAAGAAAGAAGGAAAACUCGUUGAAUUUGACAGUAGAUCAAACAAAAUUUUGCAGUUUAUGGAGAACCAAUAAUGCGUAAUCAUUAAUACAAACUCUGAUAAUCGAAUUGAGGUCUGGGGUCUAACGCCAAAGUUUUUGUGUAUUGUUCAUGAUUUUGGCCUGUACUCAAACCAGAUACUUAUAAGACUCUCUGUUCAUCAGCAAAUUAAUUCUAUUUACAAAUAAGAUCAAUGUGUUUGGCAUACAUGAAGCUCCUCUCUUCAUGUUUGUGUUUUCUUCAUCAUAAUUAUUCAACAAUCAUAUAUAUGGUGCUA